rnacentral:rRNA from 1 species
UCGGGAAUUUUGGGGCAAUGGGGGAAACCCUGACCCAGCAACGCCGCGUGAAGGAUGAAGUAUUUCGGUAUGUAAACUUCGAAAGAAUAGGAAGAAUAAAUGACGGUACUAUUUAUAAGGUCCGGCUAACUACGUGCCAGCAGCCGCGGUAAUACGUAGGGACCAAGCGUUGUUCGGAUUUACUGGGCGUAAAGGGCGCGUAGGCGGCAUGACAAGUCACUUGUGAAAUCUCUGGGCUUAACCCAGAACGGCCAAGUGAUACUGUCGCGCUAGAGUGCAGAAGGGGCAAUCGGAAUUCUUGGUGUAGAGGUGAAAUUCGUAGAUAUUAGGAAGAACACCGGUGGCGAAGGCGGCUCACUGGAUCGGUACUGACGCUGAGGUGCGAAAGCGUGGGGAGCAAACAGGAUUAGAUACCCGGGUAGUCCCUGAGCGGGCUGGCAAGGCGCAU